UAGGGAAUAUUGGACAAUGGGGGCAACCCUGAUCCAGCCAUGCCGCGUGAGUGAAGAAGGCCUUCGGGUUGUAAAGCUCUUUUGUCCGGAAAGAAAAGCAUUCGGUGAAUACCCGGAUGUUCUGACGGUACCGGAAGAAUAAGCACCGGCUAACUUCGUGCCAGCAGCCGCGGUAAUACGAAGGGUGCAAGCGUUACUCGGAAUUACUGGGCGUAAAGCGUGCGUAGGUGGUUGUUUAAGUCUGAUGUGAAAGCCCUGGGCUCAACCGGGGAAUGGCAUUGGAAACUGGGCAGCUAGAGUGCGGUAGAGGGUAGUGGAAUUCCCGGUGUAGCAGUGAAAUGCGCAGAGAUCGGGAGGAACAUCUGUGGCGAAGGCGACUGCCUGGACCAGCACUGACACUGAGGCACGAAAGCGUGGGGAGCAAACA
rnacentral:rRNA from 1 species